AAACCGUUCAGGGGUAAACCUGAGAAACCCGAAAGAUCGAAUGGGGAGAUUCAGCGUCAGCGGCGUUGGCUCGGCGAAGUGGACGAUGUCGCGGACUACGGUAUCGCGACACGUUAUCACUAUGCCGCGUCCGACGUCGUCGUCGUGCACUUCUCCCCUAGUAGAACGUCGCGACCCGUUGGGUGCCGGUCUACGGCCCGAGGUGUCAGACUGUCGCGUCGCUUCGGCGCAUGCGGCAGACCCUCGGUUGCCCGGCCGGCUGCCCGGCGGUAUAACGCACGGUAUCUGGCCGCAAUUUUUGAACUGCGUCGGGCCCGCCGCAAGCGAGGCCAGUGUCCCGGAGGUACGGACCCGGUGCCGUCCCCGAGCCUGGCCAGCUGUUGGCAGGCGGAGUCCUCAGACGGGCAGAAAUAAUGGUACCGGUCGGCGACGCUACUGCUUUGGGUACUCUCAGGACCCGUCUUGAAACACGGACCAAGGAGUCUAACAUGUGCGCGAGUCAUUGGGAUCUAAAAGCCUAAAGGCGCAAUGAAAGUGAAGGUCGGCUUCGCGUCGACCGAGGGAGGAUGGGCCGCGCCACGACGCGGCUCCGCACUCCCGGGGCGUCUCGUUCUCAUUGCGAGAAGAGGCGCACCCAGAGCGUACACGUUGG
rnacentral:rRNA from 1 species